CAGGGCCGGGGAGCAGCGGGCGGCGCAGACUCCGGCGCACACCUUGCCUCGCGUGCUCCGACUAGCCGCGGUAAACAGCAGCUAAUCCCCACUCGGUGAGACAGUGGGUACAACAGUGGCCCAGCUCAGUGUGGAACCAUAGAACAGAAGAAAGUUGCCAGCUAGCCAGAGACUGUAUAACCUGAUCUUGUCAGCAGAAGUUUCCAAACCAGCUCUCUCUACGGCGUAAUGCAUCUACCCCCGGGGGUGCACAGGAUCACCAUGCCCUCUGGUCCAAGUGUUUCCUCCUGAAUUCUGAAGCAAUUAUUUUAAUUUGACGGGUCAGUAUGAAGCAUAUACUUUAUGUAGGAGGGGAUGACAAUAUCAGCGCAAAUAAUAAGCAUAAUUGGCUCUUCGUUGUAUACGUUUAUGGAGUCUUUUCUUUUUUAAAGAACGCAAAGAAAUUAGUCAUGCUAUAUUUAAAAUUUCAAGAACAUUUUUAAAGAUUUUUUUUUCUUAAGGGAGAAGAAUUUAGGAAACUGUCGUCAGUACUGUAUUUCUACAUGAAAAUGUUUUUAGCUUUCUCCUUAAGAAGAAAAUUUCAUUCCUCUUUCAGAAUAUGUAUAUGAGUGAACCUGACCAUUAAAUCUGAUCUUUUGACAAAAGAGAUCGUAUAUACUUGAGUCUGUAACUGGCAGAAAUAUGAAAACUUUUGUCUUAAGUAAGGGAAAUGUACUGAUAAACUACUUUACUAUUAAAGUAGACAUCCAUGAUCUAUUGUGUGAGUUUCUGUGUUGUCUGCUUGCUUUAAUUUGUUCUUCUCCAUAUCACUGCCUACUUAUUUUUUCCCAGUCUUUCCUUGAAAGUCUCUUUGAUGAAUGUUGCAAGGACAUUCUUUAGAUGAACACUAAGAACAAAAGCCUGAGCAAAGGAGUGAAGAGGUGUUGGAAGCAGACAGACAUUGAAAUCUCAGCUCCUGCAUUUGGCUGGGUGAUCAUGGACAACUACUAACCUUUCGGAGCCACAACUUACAUUUCUGUAGAACUGGAAAAAUUGCAUACAGCUCACAAGGAUGUUAAAUCCCUUCCAUUAGUAUCCUUCUCCCCAGGCCUGUAUUUACAAUCUCCUAACCGGUACUUAGUAGUUGAGGGAGCUCCAAAUUAACAAAGGCAAACUCAUAUUAAUAAUCUAAACCCUUAAGUGUUUUUAGAGCAUAAACUCAGUCCUUGUUCAGUGUCACAACCACCAUUAAAUGAUCUGUGUUUAUCCUGGUACUUUUGGGAGCCAAGUUUUAGAAAGUUGAACAAACUGACUAUAAUUAACCUGAGCAAACUCGGAAAUGCCUAGUCAUAGAGCUGGUCUGUAAGCAUCCUUGUAGCCGCUGUACAUUUUCCAUUUAGCAUCUGUAUCUUAUACAGCCACUCAGCGAUGGAAGUUAGCAUGUUCUCAAGGCUCUGCCUGGA